GCAGAGUCGUUUAAUCUCCCUUCUGAAUUGAGUUUCGAAGUGCUUUCCACAGCAGGUCUGCCCUAUUUUCCCUUCUGGGGGCUGGCAGGUGGCAAGGGUCAUUAUACACUGAUUUUAAAUGAUGAUUCGAAGCGACUUGGUAAGCUCCGGGCAGGUUAUCUGCGUUAAGUCUGGCAGCGGUUCAACGAUCAUCCGAUGGUGGUUUCCGGUUUUGCGUGUGUCUUUCUUGUG
rnacentral:sRNA from 8 species